rnacentral:rRNA from 1 species
UACGUAGGGUGCGAGCGUUGUCCGGAAUUAUUGGGCGUAAAGAGCUCGUAGGCGGUUUGUCGCGUCGACUGUGAAAACUGGGGGCUUAACUCUCAGCCUGCAGUCGAUACGGGCAGACUUGAGUUCGGCAGGGGAGACUGGAAUUCCUGGUGUAGCGGUGAAAUGCGCAGAUAUCAGGAGGAACACCGGUGGCGAAGGCGGGUCUCUGGGCCGAUACUGACGCUGAGGAGCGAAAGCGUGGGGAGCGAACAGG